rnacentral:rRNA from 1 species
AUUGAACGCUGGCGGCAUGCCUUACACAUGCAAGUCGAACGGCAGCGACGGGGGCAACCCUGGUGGCGAGUGGCGAACGGGUGAGUAACUACAUCGGAACGUGCCCGGUAGUGGGGGAUAGCUCGGCGAAAGCCGGAUUAAUACCGCAUACGACCCACGGGUGAAAGCGGGGGAUCGCAAGACCUCGCGCUAGCGGAGCGGCCGAU